rnacentral:rRNA from 1 species
CCUACGGGGGGCAGCAGUGAGGAAUAUUGGUCAAUGGACGCAAGUCUGAACCAGCCACGUCGCGUGAAGGAAGACGGCCCUACGGGUUGUAAACUUCUUUUAUACGGGAAUAAAGUGCCCCACGCGUGGGGUUUUGCAUGUACCGUAUGAAUAAGGAUCGGCUAACUCCGUGCCAGCAGCCGCGGUAAUACGGAGGAUCCGAGCGUUAUCCGGAUUUAUUGGGUUUAAGGGUGCUCAGGCGGGGGAUUAAGUCGGCGGUGAAAUUUUGCAGCUCAACUGUAAAAGUGCCUUCGAAACUGGUUUCCUUGAGUGUGGAUGAGGUAGGCGGAAUUUGUGGUGUAGCGGUGAAAUGCAUAGAUAUCACGAGGAACUCCGAUUGCGCAGGCAGCUUACUAAACCAUAACUGACGCUCAAGCACGAAGGCGUGGGGAUCAAACAGGAUUAGAUACCCUGGUAGUCCACGCAGUAAACGAUGAUUACUGGCUGUUUGCGAUAUAAUGUAAGCGGCUGAGCGAAAGCGUUAAGUAAUCCACCUGGGGAGUACGUUCGCAAGAAUGAAACUCAAAGGAAUUGACGGGGGCCCGCACAAGCGGAGGAACAUGUGGUUUAAUUCGAUGAUACGCGAGGAACCUUACCCGGGCUUGAAAUGCGUCUGACAGUCGGAGAGAUCCGAUCUCCCUUCGGGGCAGACGUGUAGGUGCUGCAUGGUUGUCGUCAGCUCGUGCCGUGAGGUGUCGGCUUAAGUGCCAUAACGAGCGCAACCCUCAUCGUUAGUUGCCAUCAGGUAGUGCUGGGGACUCUAACGAGACUGCCAUCGUAAGAUGCGAGGAA